rnacentral:rRNA from 1 species
UACGGAGGGUGCAAGCGUUGCUCGGAAUUAUUGGGCGUAAAGGGUAGGUAGGUGGUCUCAUUUGUCUGGGGUGAAAUCCUUGGGCUUAACUCAAGAAGUGCCCCAGAAACGGUGAGACUAGAGUACUGGAGAGGCGAGUGGAAUUCCCGGUGUAGCGGUGAAAUGCGUAGAGAUCGGGAGGAACACCAGAGGCGAAGGCGGCUCGCUGGACAGUCACUGACACUCAACUACGAAAGCGUGGGGAGCAAACAGG